rnacentral:rRNA from 1 species
AGCUAAUACCGGAUAAUAUUUUGAACCGCAUGGUUCAAAAGUGAAAGACGGUCUUGCUGUCACUUAUAGAUGGAUCCGCGCUGCAUUAGCUAGUUGGUAAGGUAACGGCUUACCAAGGCAACGAUGCAUAGCCGACCUGAGAGGGUGAUCGGCCACACUGGAACUGAGACACGGUCCAGACUCCUACGGGAGGCAGCAGUAGGGAAUCUUCCGCAAUGGGCGAAAGCCUGACGGAGCAACGCCGCGUGAGUGAUGAAGGUCUUCGGAUCGUAAAACUCUGUUAUUAGGGAAGAACAUAUGUGUAAGUAACUGUGCACAUCUUGACGGUACCUAAUCAGAAAGCCACGGCUAACUACGUGCCAGCAGCCGCGGUAAUACGUAGGUGGCAAGCGUUAUCCGGAAUUAUUGGGCGUAAAGCGCGCGUAGGCGGUUUUUUAAGUCUGAUGUGAAAGCCCACGGCUCAACCGUGGAGGGUCAUUGGAAACUGGAAAACUUGAGUGCAGAAGAGGAAAGUGGAAUUCCAUGUGUAGCGGUGAAAUGCGCAGAGAUAUGGAGGAACACCAGUGGCGAAGGCGACUUUCUGGUCUGUAACUGACGCUGAUGUGCGAAAGCGUGGGGAUCAAACAGGAUUAGAUACCCUGGUAGUCCACGCCGUAAACGAUGAGUGCUAAGUGUUAGGGGGUUUCCCGCCCCUUAGUGCUGCAGCUAACGCAUUAAGCACUCCGCCUGGGGAGUACGACCGCAAGGUUGAAACUCAAAGGAAUUGACGGGGACCCGCACAAGCGGUGGAGCAUGUGGUUUAAUUCGAAGCAACGCGAAGAACCUUACCAAAUCUUGACAUCCUUUGACAACUCUAGAGAUAGAGCUUUCCCCUUCGGGGGACAAAGUGACAGGUGGUGCAUGGUUGUCGUCAGCUCGUGUCGUGAGAUGUUGGGUUAAGUCCCGCAACGAGCGCAACCCUUAAGCUUAGUUGCCAUCAUUAAGUUGGGCACUCUAAGUUGACUGCCGGUGACAAACCGGAGGAAGGUGGGGAUGACGUCAAAUCAUCAUGCCCCUUAUGAUUUGGGCUACACACGUGCUACAAUGGACAAUACAAAGGGCAGCGAAACCGCGAGGUCAAGCAAAUCCCAUAAAGUUGUUCUCAGUUCGGAUUGUAGUCUGCAACUCGACUACAUGAAGCUGGAAUCGCUAGUAAUCGUAGAUCAGCAUGCUACGGUGAAUACGUUCCCGGGUCUUGUACACACCGCCCGUCACACCACGAGAGUUUGUAACACCCGAAGCCGGUGGAGUAACCUUUUAGGAGCUAGCCGUCGAAGGUGGGACAAAUGAUUGGGGUGAAGUCGUAACAAGGUAGCCGUAUCGGAAGGUGCGGCUGGAUCACCUCCUUUCUAAGGA